GAAAAUAUAGUAAUUAAUGAAAGAAUAUUAAAUACACAUAAUCAUUUAUUUAUAAUGAUUUACUACAAUAUUUUACACUUUAUACAUUGCAUGGUAAGAUAUAUGAGUGACUUAGUACUGCAUAGAGUUCCUAUAGGCCUCGUUUAGUACACCUCACAUGCCUGGAUUAGAUUAGAUUAAAAUUAGGCCCAUGUUUGGUUCACCUAAUUCUAGUUCUAAGCAGGGAUUACUAAUGUGGGUCCCACUAAAAAAAGCCUCCUUAGAAGGUGUUAGUUAAUCCCGUACAAAAUGAGGGGACUCAACAAUCUCGUGUGUUUUCAGGAAAAAAAAAAAAAUUAAUCCCGUGUGUUCUACCCUCAUACUCAGCCACUCAAUUCAAGUCCAUGUAAUCAUCGUCAUCCCCACUCCGAUUCAACACACUGGCUUCACCAUUAACAUCAUCAUCAUCAUCAGUCAUUUAUUGAGAUCAAAAUUGAGGAUGCUCC
rnacentral:lncRNA from 1 species